rnacentral:rRNA from 1 species
GACAGAGGGUGCAAACGUUGUUCGGAAUUACUGGGCGUAAAGCGCGUGUAGGCGGCUCGGCAAGUCGGGUGUGAAAGCCCUGGGCUUAACCUAGGAAGUGCACUCGAAACUGCCAAGCUUGAGUUCUGGAGAGGAAGGCGGAAUUCUCGGUGUAGAGGUGAAAUUCGUAGAUAUCGAGAGGAACACCGGUGGCGAAGGCGGCCUUACUGGGACAGCAGCUGACGCUGAGACGCGAAAGCGUGGGGAGCAAACAGG